GACGAACGCUGGCGGCGUGCCUAAUACAUGCAAGUCGAGCGCAGGAAACUGACGGAACUCUUCGGAGGGAAGGCAGUGGAAUGAGCGGCGGACGGGUGAGUAACACGUAAGGAACCUGCCUCAAGGAUUGGGAUAACUCCGAGAAAUCGGAGCUAAUACCGGAUAGUUCAUCGGACCGCAUGGUCCGUUGAUGAAAGGCGCUUCGGCGUCACCUUGAGAUGGCCUUGCGGUGCAUUAGCUAGUUGGUGGGGUAACGGCCCACCAAGGCGACGAUGCAUAGCCGACCUGGGAGGGGGAUCGGCCACACUGGGACUGAGACACGGCCCAGACUCCUACGGGAGGCAGCAGUAGGGAAUCUUCCACAAUGGACGAAAGUCUGAUGGAGCAACGCCGCGUGAGUGAUGAAGGUUUUCGGAUCGUAAAACUCUGUUGCAAGGGGAGAACACGUACGAGAGGGAAUGCUCGUACCUUGACGGUACCUUACGAGAAAGCCACGGCUAACUACGUGCCAGCAGCCGCCGUAA
rnacentral:rRNA from 1 species